rnacentral:rRNA from 1 species
UACAGAGGGGGCAAGCGUUAUUCGGAAUUAUUGGGCGUAAAGGGCGCGUAGGCGGCUUGGCAAGUGGAUGGUGAAAUCCCUCGGCUUAACCGAGGAACUGCCGUCCAAACUGCUUUGCUUGAGACCGGGAGAGGUGAGUGGAAUUCCCAGUGUAGCGGUGAAAUGCGUAGAUAUUGGGAGGAACACCAGUGGCGAAGGCGGCUCACUGGACCGGUACUGACGCUGAAGCGCGAAAGCGUGGGGAGCAAACGGGG